AACACAGCAAAUUGCCCUUUCAGGAUUAGAAAUCUACAGGCAACGCGACCAAGAUGAGUUUCUGUGUUUUGGAAAAUGACAUGGAACCCUUCUGCUGAGGGGACAGAUUCUAAUUCCCUCCAAAUUGAGUGUGAGUGCGAUUUUGAGGUGAAUUCAAUCAGAAUUCCAAGGUCUGUCUGUGGAAGGGGGGGAUGAAUCUGGAAACAGCCAGUUUCUUUGUGUCUAAAUCCAGCCAAAUACCACAAAGGACUCUUGAAUUUCUUUGGCUUUCUCAGAUUUCCCUUAUUUAUCGUGGUUUGUAAUGAAUUUUCUGAUGGGAGCUUUGGUUUUGAGGCUGCAAUAUGGAGUUCAGGGCACCGCAGGAAUGGUCUUUUUAAAACAGGGCACAGCUGUUGGCUUGCUCCAAUUCUGUCUUGCUUUCAAGGUUUUGGGUGCCUCAGCUGAUUUGUGGUUUCUUGAGCGGCAAUUUCCUACAUGUUUUCUGGGUCUGAGUUGGUUUUGCCUUCUUCCUUUCCAAAUUUUGUAUUCUGACGUAAUACAAACAAGAGUUUGGACAGAGUAGCCAUUAUGAAAUAAAAAACACAACAAAUAUGCGUUUGAAGCUUAUAUAUGUACAGGUAACACGAGCAAGGUAAGUUUUUGUGUUUUCGAAAGUAAAAUUGAACACUCUGGCUGAGGUGACAGAUAUUAAUUGCCUCCAAAACCGAGUUUCACUGCGAUUUUUUUGUUAAUUCAUUCAGAAACCAAAGACACUCAGUUGGGAGGUGUGGAUGUAUCUGGAAACAGCCGUUUACAUGGCCAUAAUUCAAGCCCAAUAUCCCUAAGAACUCCUGCAUUUCUUUGGCUUUUUUCUCAUUUUUCUUAUUCAUCAUGGUUUGUAAUGAAUUUUCUGAUGUGAGCUUUGGUUUUGAGGCUGGCAUAUUGAGUUCAGGGCACAAGAGGAAGGUUCUUUUUCAAUCAGGGCACAGCUGUUGGCUUGCUCCAAUUCUGGCUUGCUGUCAUUGUUUUGGGUGCCUCAGCCGAUUUGUGGUUU